GACGAACGCUGGCGGCGUGCUUAACACAUGCAAGUCGAACGGAAAGGCCCUGCUUUUGUGGGGUGCUCGAGUGGCGAACGGGUGAGUAACACGUGAGUAACCUGCCCUUGACUUUGGGAUAACUUCAGGAAACUGGGGCUAAUACCGGAUAGGAGCUCCUGCUGCAUGGUGGGGGUUGGAAAGUUUCGGCGGUUGGGGAUGGACUCGCGGCUUAUCAGCUUGUUGGUGGGGUAGUGGCUUACCAUGGCUUUGACGGGUAGCCGGCCUGAGAGGGUGACCGGCCACAUUGGGACUGAGAUACGGCCCAGACUCCUACGGGAGGCAGCAGUGGGGAAGAUUGCACAAUGGGCGGAAGCCUGAUGCAGCAACGCCGCGUGCGGGAUGACGGCCUUCGGGUUGUAAACCGCUUUCGCCUGUGACGAAGCGUGAGUGACGGUAAUGGGUAAAGAAGCACCGGCUAACUACGUG
rnacentral:rRNA from 1 species